CCGGUGAUUAGUGGCGAACGGGUGAGUAACACGUGAGUAACCUGCCCUUAACUCUGGGAUAAGCCUGGGAAACUGGGUCUAAUACCGGAUAUGACUCCUCAUCGCAUGGUGGGGGGUGGAAAGCUUUUUGUGGUUUUGGAUGGACUCGCGGCCUAUCAGCUUGUUGGUGAGGUAAUGGCUCACCAAGGCGACGACGGGUAGCCGGCCUGAGAGGGUGACCGGCCACACUGGGACUGAGACACGGCCCAGACUCCUACGGGAGGCAGCAGUGGGGAAUAUUGCACAAUGGGCGCAAGCCUGAUGCAGCGACGCCGCGUGAGGGAUGACGGCCUUCGGGUUGUAAACCUCUUUCAGUAGGGAAGAAGCGAAAGUGACGGUACCUGCAGAAGAAGCGCCGGCUAACUACGUGCCAGCAGCCGCGGUAAUACGUAGGGCGCAAGCGUUAUCCGGAAUUAUUGGGCGUAAAGAGCUCGUAGGCGGUUUGUCGCGUCUGCCGUGAAAGUCCGGGGCUCAACUCCGGAUCUGCGGUGGGUACGGGCAGACUAGAGUGAUGUAGGGGAGACUGGAAUUCCUGGUGUAGCGGUGAAAUGCGCAGAUAUCAGGAGGAACACCGAUGGCGAAGGCAGGUCUCUGGGCAUUAACUGACGCUGA
rnacentral:rRNA from 1 species